AGAAGUGAGAAUGCCGGUAUGAGUAGCGAAAGACAGGUGAGAAUCCUGUCCACCGAAUGACUAAGGUUUCCUGGGGAAGGCUCGUCCGCCCAGGGUUAGUCGGGACCUAAUCCGAGGCCGACAGGCGUAGGCGAUGGAUAACAGGUUGAUAUUCCUGUACCCGUUGUUUUUGUUUGAGCAAUGGAGGGACGCAGGAGGCUAAGGAAUGCAGACGAUCGGAA
rnacentral:rRNA from 1 species